AAUGAGAGAGGAGGAGGACAGCCUUAAGUGAGGGCUGCAAGUGGACCCCUUUCCAGCACAAGUGUCUUCUUGCAGUGCUGGCAUUGGAGUCGGAGAUGGGGAGAAACCAGCAUGUUCUCAUUCCACCUCAACAGACGGCCAAUAGUAGAAGAAUGCCCAGGUUUCAGAACUAAUUGCUGCAUUCUCAGAUUCCCCUGAAUACUUUGUUCAUAAGAAAGUACUUGCCAGAUUUUGCCUCCUAUGGUAGUGGUGCUUAUCUCUGUAAUUAUAUGCAGACCAAUUCAGCAUCUGGUACUCAGAAAUAUUUCUGAAUAGAUUGAUGGAUGGAUCAAGAAAUGGAUUGUUAGGCACAUGGAUAGAUGGAUAGAGCUAACACAGCAGAGGAAGGCUUCUGAAAGAACUCGGGAUUUGGAAUCAGGCCUACCACCUUCAGCCUGGCCUGAAGCUGCUGAGGGUGAAGGAUGGGAACGGUUCUGUUCUCACUCUCAUACAAGCUGGCAUCAUUUCACACCUGGAUGACUGCAAGAGCUCCUUAAUGGCCUAUUGCCUUUUAAUCUUGCUCCUUUUCAACUCAUUUUCUACAAAGUAGCAAGAAUAUCUUUAAAA